CGGCCGCGUCGACCAAGGCGACGAUACAUAGCCGACCUGAGAGGGUGAUCGGCCACACUGGGACUGAGACACGGCCCAGACUCCUACGGGAGGCAGCAGUAGGGAAUCUUCGGCAAUGGACGGAAGUCUGACCGAGCAACGCCGCGUGAGUGAAGAAGGUUUUCGGAUCGUAAAGCUCUGUUGUAAGAGAAGAACGAGUGUGAGAGUGGAAAGUUCACACUGUGACGGUAUCUUACCAGAAAGGGACGGCUAACUACGUGCCAGCAGCCGCGGUAAUACGUAGGUCCCGAGCGUUGUCCGGAUUUAUUGGGCGUAAAGCGAGCGCAGGCGGU
rnacentral:rRNA from 1 species